GUGGGUGUAGCUCAGUUGGUUAGAGCACUAGUUUGUGGCACUGGGGGCCGUGGGUUCGAGACCCAUCAUCCACCCCA
rnacentral:tRNA from 1 species